rnacentral:snRNA from 1 species
AGAUGUGAGGGCGAUCUAGCUGUGACAUCUGUCACCCCAUUGAUUGCCAAAGUUGAUUCAGCUGAUCUGCCUGGCUAGGCGGGUGUCCCCUUCCUCCCUCACUGCUCCAUGUGCAUCGCUUGAUAGAAGACCUUCCCUGAAUAGGACCAGUCUUCAGUGGAGGGUGGAGGGUAUAGGAGUAGCUGCGUUCCCCUGUUAGGACAUCCAAACAAGCUCUCAGGAAAGAGAGGUUCUCCCUGCAGCACUGGAUAUGAAAUCCAGACUUUCAGCAGUGUUUAUUCAGGUAGAGAGACCAU